AUCCAGCAGCCACUGCGCUUCCGUAUCUACAUAAGACACUGCCCGGUCAGUGACAUCACCGACCGCGCUCUUCCCGCCUACCCACGGCCCGCCCCCUCCCCGCGUUUUCCUCCUCCCGUUCCUCCCAGACGGCCAAUGAGCGGGCCGGCAGCCCGAGGAAGAAGUGACGUCUCCCUUCCCCCUCCCCAGCGGCCACCGUUUACGCGGCGAGCCGAGUCGGGGGCCUGGCCCAGCCGCGUCUCUCCCGGACUGCGCGGCUUCUUCACUUCUCCUUCCCCACGCCCCUUUGGCUUUCGGCUGAAGCCUGUGCAACUUUCUCGGAAUAAUGAGUGGCUCUUAACACGUAGAAUAGAACAAAAAUUGAUAUUAGCCCUGACCUCGGGAUCAUUUUUUUCCAUGGCAUAGAAUGUAUCCUUUUUUUUUUUUUUUUUCCCCGAAGGCACCUUACGGAGACCAAGACGAGUGUGUUACCUAGAGAAUUUGCAGCCAUCCACCCAUCACAGAGACAAACAUGUUUAAACACGUUUUGUGUGGAAUACACCCGUGCAUGUAUGAACUGGAACCCUAGCAGCAGUACUUUUUGACUUAACCCUCCUGUUACUCAGUGACAUUGGUUACACUUUUCACAAUGUGUCAGCAUUCUCGUUAUUUCCUUUGUGACGGUUCUGUUUCCAUCAGUUCCCUGGCCCUCCUUACCUUCAUCAUCGUCGGCCUAGGGUGAAUUUUGACUGUUAGGUCUCAUUAUUUAGAGGAGCACAGUAGUCGCAGGUGAUAUUUAUUUUAUGAGCCACUCUGUGUUUGGGCUGAUAGGUGAACACCAGGAGUGGUUUGAGAUCCAAGGACAAAGGGUAUCCCAGGGGGAUAGUCUCAGGCGUUCCUCUGGUCUCCACGGGUCCAAUAAGUAUUGACUUUUUUUUUUUUUUAGGAAUUUGAGUUUUGUUCUAUGUUUUUCUCCCAUGCUAUCCUGGACCAUCUAUUGUAUUUGUAUCCCUGGUGGGAACGGUCGGUAAUGGUAGCCGGGCACCAUCUCGGUAUUCUGCUCUCUAGGUAGAUGAGGCUGUGCUCCCUGUAGACUAGUUUCGUCUUUGGAGUCUUUGGUUUCCUUUUUCUCUUUUGCUCCUCUUUAUUUUUCUUAAGAUAAAAAUCCUCUGGGACAACUUUCUUGGCAUUCUGACCUAGUGAAAAAACCUGGCGUCACCCUACAGUGAAGCUCAAAGUUGGCAAAGUCCACUCACUCAGGGUUUUCUAUCUGCUUUUUAGGUCUCUGCUCUUAACUAGAGGAUGACCAGAUUUACCCAGAUUUACCUGAGAAAAUCAUCUCAUACCAGCCACGGCUCUGACGGGAAACAGAAGGGAGAAAAACACACAAGACUGAGAUAGCUGAACAAAGCUUAGGUCCACCUCAAAGAGAAGUCAACAUUCCUGAAAAUCUCUAAACCCUGAGAGAAACCAGGAUGGCGUGAAGAGACUGGCAAGACUCUCCGAUGACAUGAUGAGACUUACGAGGCUUCAAUGGUAGAUCACUUUAUCGUCAAGUCCACCUCAAAGAAAAGUCAGGAUCCCUGGAAAUCUCUAAACCCUAACCUUCUCCCUAUAAAGCCCUCCAGUUAGCCCUUUAGAGUUAGACCGGAUUUGGGAGAAAUUUAACCCCCUCUGUCUCUUGGACACCGGUGUUCAAUAAAGCCCUCUUGGUGCUUACCUCCUCCUGUCUCAGUAUUGGCUUUAUAGCAUGCGGCUGGAAUCUGCGAUGUGCAGUAACAGAGAUGCUGCCUGUGGAGAUCAGAUUGAGUUGUUCCUUCCUUGCUCUUGCUGCCUUUUUCCCUUGGAAGUAUCUUUGACAGUGUUCCUACAACUCUACUAUCAUGGUUUUAAUUUCCGAGAUAUUUGUUUGCUGAAUGCGCCUUUCUUCCCUUUUUUAAUUUUUUAUCGUGCUUUAGGUGAGCGUUUACAGCUCAAGUUAAUUCCUCAUACAAAAAUAUGGGCUCAAACAUAGCAAAUAUUGUCAGGAUGACGCAGGAAUGGGCACUGUUACGUCCUGUUGUACACGGGGUCGCUAUGAGCCAGAGA